rnacentral:rRNA from 1 species
AUACGGAGGAUGCAAGCGUUAUCCGGAUUUAUUGGGUUUAAAGGGUGCGUAGGCGGAUGAUUAAGCGUGAGGUGAAAUGCCACUGCUCAACAGUGGAACUGCCUCGCGAACUGGUUGUCUUGAAUGCUCCUGCCGUGGGAGGAAUGUGUGGUGUAGCGGUGAAAUGCAUAGAGAUCACACAGAACACCGAUUGCGAAGGCAUCUCACGAAGGCGUUAUGGACGCUGAGGCGCGUACGCGUGUGGAGUACACAGGAUUAGAUUGCCUGGUAGUCCUCGAAGUAAGCGAUGAUAACUAACCCCUAAGAAGUAGUGUUUCAGCGGUCAAGGGAAAACGAUAAGUGACCCACCUGGGGAGUUCGGCCGCACGGUUGAAACUCAAAGGAGUUGACGGGG